rnacentral:lncRNA from 1 species
CAAAUCAUGCAUGGACCAGCCUAACUCCUUUCCAGUCUGCCGUUGCCACUUGGAGUUCUUCCAGGUAUCCUGUGACAGGAUGUUCCAUGAGACAUUGAGGGAGCCAGUCUUUGAUUCAGGAGCAUGAGAGCACACAUUGCAUACAGACCAUCAUUCCUAGGCACGAAGACCUGUGAGGCAGGAGCCCCGCCCUCUGGUGGAAGAAGAGGAUAGCUGUCGUAGGUGAAUCUUGAGCACCUGCUAAGAGUCACAGCUGAUGGAUUGUAGAGUGUUGGGGUGAGAUGGAGGCAGAUGUGAGCCCCAGAGAGUGUGGUUCUAUGUCACAACUCCUUCCAGCCUGGCCGUCUCUGCAGCCUGUCUGGGCAGAGUGGAUUGUGGCUGAAGCCAGGUGUCCCACGACUCAGACAGGCUGGUGCCAGAGGUGGGGGUGGGGACCCCACAGGAGGCUGAAAGAAUUGAGAGGGGCGUUGGAGGACAGGAAGCUUGCUCCCCCCGGGAGAGGCUAUACCUCUCCUCUGCCCCUGCAGCUCCAAGCAGCUCACCAUCAGGGCAUCCCUCCCUUCCGAGGUUCCCUUGAGGGCCA